UUUAGAUUUAAUGGAAAUUAAAUUUUUCAGUGGUUUGAUAUCAUAAACGUUCUUUACUUGAUAUGUUUUUGUCUGUACACGAUGCUUUGUUUAGCUCUCUAACCCUUUAUGUGUUGUGUUGUAAACAACAAGAUAUCGUGGCUUAAUCUGCAUCAUUUCUUGAUGGACAAAUUGGGGAUUACUCACUAAACUAUAGAUUAAGGUAAACUGUCAAGGAAAGUUAAAAUCUAAGAAAUCUGUAGUUUUAAAAUAUCUGGGGGAUAUAUCUUUUGGGCACCCCUGGUCUAUACCAUACUUGGAAG